AGUAGCUCAAUUUGGUAGAGCAGCGGUCUCCAAAACCGCAGGUUGGGGGUUCGAUUCCCUCCUGG
rnacentral:tRNA from 1 species